UGGAUAUGAUGACAGACGGCCUGAGAAGGAAUGAUGAAAUCUCGAGAGAAUUCCUCUAGAUAGUCAAGUUCUGAUCUGG
rnacentral:snoRNA from 14 species